rnacentral:rRNA from 1 species
GAUGAACGCCGGCGGUGUGCCUAAUACAUGCAAGUCGAACGCGUUGGCCCAACUGAUUGGACGUGCUUGCACGGACUUGACGUUGGUUUACCAGCGAGUGGCGGACGGGUGAGUAACACGUAGGUAACCUGCCCCAAAGCGGGGGAUAACAUUUGGAAACAGAUGCUAAUACCGCAUAACAAUUUGAAUCGCAUGAUCCAAAUUUAAAAGAUGGUUUCGGCUAUCACUUUGGGAUGGACCUGCGGCGCAUUAGCUUGUUGGUAGGGUAACGGCCUACCAAGGCUGUGAUGCGUAGCCGAGUUGAGAGACUGAUCGGCCACAAUGGAACUGAGACACGGUCCAUACUCCUACGGGAGGCAGCAGUAGGGAAUCUUCCACAAUGGGCGCAAGCCUGAUGGAGCAACACCGCGUGAGUGAAGAAGGGUUUCGGCUCGUAAAGCUCUGUUGUUAGAGAAGAACGUGCGUGAGAGCAACUGUUCACGCAGUGACGGUAUCUAACCAGAAAGUCACGGCUAACUACGUGCCAGCAGCCGCGGUAAUACGUAGGUGGCAAGCGUUAUCCGGAUUUAUUGGGCGUAAAGCGAGCGCAGGCGGUUUGAUAAGUCUGAUGUGAAAGCCUUUGGCUUAACCAAAGAAGUGCAUCGGAAACUGUCAGACUUGAGUGUAGAAGAGGACAGUGGAACUCCAUGUGUAGCGGUGGAAUGCGUAGAUAUAUGGAAGAACACCAGUGGCGAAGGCGGCUGUCUGGUCU